ensembl:lncRNA
CCCUGUGCCGUGGCCCUCUGGGCACUAUUAUCCAAAACUAAGGUCUUGUGUCAGGCUGGACCCUGUAGCCAUGUGUUCUCUCACCUCACAUCAAAGAGUGAUUAGUGACAAAUAAUAAGAUAAGAUUUGUUGAAGAUAGAGCAAGUCAUCACACAUUUUUGUUUAGAUUUUAGGAGUGAAAAAGCAGAAGUCUUUUUUCAGAGGUAACCACGCUCCUCUCUGCUCCCCUAGGUGGAGCUGCUGUGAGUAGACAAAGAUGUUCAUCUCUCUGAUGCACCCCCUCCUGCGCCUCUUUAGAUAGCAGGUUGAUCGUUACAGCUCAGACGGUAAUCAAAACAUUGUUCCAGAGCCACCCCCGCCUCCAAUAAUUCUGCUGACCUUCGGUGCCAUGCGGCUGGUUCGACAUGGAAGGGUGAGCUGCCGGGGAGACGAUCCUUUUCACGCAGCCCGUUCCCCUCAAAAUGGCUUUUUCUUCUCCCAGACAAUCAUCUGAUACGGAGGCUGAAUGAAAUCACAGAUUACAUAAGAAAGGUCCUCUCUCUGCCGCCGAUAAGGGCUGCACCUGAAGUGACUGCUCUCAACGCUUUCCUCUCAUCUUCUUCGUCCUCAUCUUCCUUCCUCUCUAUACUUAUCUGCUCUUUUUUUGCUCUGCACCUUUCUGUGCUCUGCACUUUUGCUUUUAAACUCAAGUUCCUGAUUUCUAAUAUGUCAAUUGUCGUAUGCAGAGAAGAUUAAUAUGUAAAUGUCUGUUCGCUUUUUAAUUAUACGAGAUUAACUGCAUUGUGGUAUAAUGCUUGAGUGAGCUGGUGAAAUCAACGUAGUCUAUUGCCAUUUCUCAGUAAUGUAAAGUAGCGUAAUGUUUAUUUUUUCUCAUACCUUCUAACCUAAUGUUUCCACUUUUAUACCUUCUUCCUGUAAUAAAAGGACAUCACCAGAAAAAAUAUUUCCCCUUUGCGGCACAUGUGGAAUUGAACUAAGUAUUAAAUAAAGAAUGAUAUCCAUUA